rnacentral:rRNA from 1 species
UACGUAGGGGGCUAGCGUUGUCCGGAAUCAUUGGGCGUAAAGCGCGUGUAGGCGGUUCGGUAAGUCCGCUGUGAAAGUCGGGGGCUCAACCCUCGGAUGCCGGUGGAUACUGUCGGGCUUGAGUACGGAAGAGGCGAGUGGAAUUCCUGGUGUAGCGGUGAAAUGCGCAGAUAUCAGGAGGAACACCGAUGGCGAAGGCAGCUCGCUGGGACGUGACUGACGCUGAGACGCGAAAGCGUGGGGAGCAAACAGG